GACGAGUGGCGGACGGGUGAGUAAUGCUUGGGAACUUGCCUUUGCGAGGGGGAUAACAGUUGGAAACGACUGCUAAUACCGCAUAAUGUCUUCGGACCAAACGGGGCUUAGGCUCCGGCGCAAAGAGAGGCCCAAGUGAGAUUAGCUAGUUGGUAAGGUAACGGCUUACCAAGGCGACGAUCUCUAGCUGUUCUGAGAGGAAGAUCAGCCACACUGGGACUGAGACACGGCCCAGACUCCUACGGGAGGCAGCAGUGGGGAAUAUUGCACAAUGGGGGAAACCCUGAUGCAGCCAUGCCGCGUGUGUGAAGAAGGCCUUCGGGUUGUAAAGCACUUUCAGUUGUGAGGAAAAGUUAGUAGUUAAUACCUGCUAGCCGUGACGUUAACAACAGAAGAAGCACCGGCUAACUCCGUGCCAGCAGCCGCGGUAAUACGGAGGGUGCGAGCGUUAAUCGGAAUUACUGGGCGUAAAGCGCACGCAGGCGGUUUGUUAAGCUAGAUGUGAAAGCCCCGGGCUCAACCUGGGAUGGUCAUUUAGAACUGGCAGACUAGAGUC
rnacentral:rRNA from 1 species